rnacentral:rRNA from 1 species
CAGUGUAGUCAGAGCCGCUGUUGGGAUACCACUCUUGUUUGAUUGAAGUUCUAACCUGCACCCAUGAACUGGGUGAGGGACCGUGUCAGGUGGGCAGUUUGACUGGGGCGGUCGCCUCCUAAAGAGUAACGGAGGCGCCCAAAGGUACGCUCAGAUUGGAUGGAAAUCAAUCGACGAGUGCAAAUGCAGAAGCGUGCUUGACUGUGAGACAAACAAGUCGAACAGGGACGAAAGUCGGGAUUAGUGAUCCGGCGGUGCCGAAUGGAAGGGCCGUCGCUCAACGGAUAAAAGCUACCCUGGGGAUAACAGGCUGAUCUCGCCCAAGAGUUCACAUCGACGGCGAGGUUUGGCACCUCGAUGUCGGCUCAUCGCAUCCUGGAGCUGAAUUCGGUUCCAAGGGUUGGGCUGUCCGCCCAUUAAAGCGGUACGCGAGCUGGGUUCAGAACGUCGUGAGACAGUUCGGUCCCUAUCUGUUGUGGGCGUUGGAGAUCUGAGGAGAGCUGUCCUUAGUACGAGAGGACCGGGAUGGACCUACCGCUGGUGCACCAGUUGUUCCGCCAGGAGCAUAGCUGGGUAGCUAAGUAGGGAAGGGAUAAGCGCUGAAAGCAUCUAAGCGCGAAGCCUACUCCAAGAUGAGAUCUCCCAUUCGUAUAACGAAGUAAGACCCCUUGAAGACGACGAGGUGGAUAGGUCAGAGAUGGAAGUGUAGCGAUACAUGGAGUUGACUGAUACUAAUAGGUCGAGGACUUAAUCAC